AGCCCAGAGCCUGAAUCAGUGUGUGUGUUAGUGGAAGCGUCUGGAAAGGCGCGCGAUACAGGGUGACAGCCCCGUACACAAAAAUGCACAUGCUGUGAGCUCGAUGAGUAGGGCGGGACACGUGGUAUCCUGUCUGAAUAUGGGGGGACCAUCCUCCAAGGCUAAAUACUCCUGACUGACCGAUAGUGAACCAGUACCGUGAGGGAAAGGCGAAAAGAACCCCGGCGAGGGGAGUGAAAAAGAACCUGAAACCGUGUACGUACAAGCAGUGGGAGCACGCUUAGGCGUGUGACUGCGUACCUUUUGUAUAAUGGGUCAGCGACUUAUAUUCUGUAGCAAGGUUAACCGAAUAGGGGAGCCGAAGGGAAACCGAGUCUUAACUGGGCGUUAAGUUGCAGGGUAUAGACCCGAAACCCGGUGAUCUAGCCAUGGGCAGGUUGAAGGUUGGGUAACACUAACUGGAGGACCGAACCGACUAAUGUUGAAAAAUUAGCGGAUGACUUGUGGCUGGGGGUGAAAGGCCAAUCAAACCGGGAGAUAGCUGGUUCUCCCCGAAAGCUAUUUAGGUAGCGCCUCGUGAAUUCAUCUCCGGGGGUAGAGCACUGUUUCGGCAAGGGGGUCAUCCCGACUUACCAACCCGAUGCAAAC
rnacentral:rRNA from 1 species